rnacentral:rRNA from 1 species
CAGCAGCCGCGGUAAUUCGGGGGAUGCAAGUGUUAUCCGGAAUUACUGGGCGUAAAGCGUCUGUAGGUUGUUUAAUAAGUCAACUGUUAAAUCUUGAGGCUUAACCUCAAAACAGCAGUCGAAACUAUUAGACUAGAGUAUAGUAGGGGUAAAGGGAAUUUCCAGUGGAGCGGUGAAAUGCGUAGAUAUUGGAAAGAACACCGAUGGCGAAAGCACUUUACUGGGCUAUUACUAACACUCAGAGACGAAAGCUAGGGUAGCAAAUGGGAUUAGAUACCCCAGUAGUCCUAGCUGUAAACAAUGGAUACUAGAUGUUGAACAGAUCGACCUGUGCAGUAUUAAAGCUAACGCGUUAAGUAUCCCGCCUGGGAAGUAUGCUCGCAAGAGUGAAACUCAAAGGAAUUGACGG